rnacentral:rRNA from 1 species
AUUGAACGCUGGCGGCAGGCCUAACACAUGCAAGUCGAACGGUAACAGGAAGAAGCUUGCUUCUUUGCUGACGAGUGGCGGACGGGUGAGUAAUGUCUGGGAAACUGCUUGAUGGAGGGGGAUAACUACUGGAAACGGUAGCUAAUACCGCAUAACGUCGCAAGGCCAAAGAGGGGGACCUUAGGGCCUCUUGCCAUCGGAUGAGCCCAGAUGGGAUUAGCUAGUAGGUGGGGUAACGGCUCACCUAGGCGACGAUCCCUAGCUGGUCUGAGAGGAUGACCGGCCACACUGGAACUGAGACACGGUCCAGACUCCUACGGGAGGCAACAGUAGGGAAUAUUGCGCAAUGGGCGCAAGCCUGAUGCAGCCAUGCCGCGUGUGUGAAGAAGGCCUUCGGCUUGUAAAGUACUUUUAGCGGGGAGGAACGGAUUUAAAUUAAUACCUUAGCUCAUUGACGUUACCCGCACAAGAAGCACCGGCUAACUCCGUG